rnacentral:lncRNA from 1 species
GGAUUCAGACUCAACAACAAUUGCAGAGUCUUUAUCUAUCCGGAGUUGGAGUCUCAGGCAGCCUCCCUAUUUGGUUUUCAAAUUUCUCAAAAGGUUUGGAAAUUCUUAACUUGAGCUCCAACUAUUUGACUGGUCAAUUACCUUCUCCUCCCCAAUUCAUAUUGGAUCUCUCCAACAACUCAUUUGUCGGACCUAUUCCAUCGAGCUUCGAAGAAGGUGCAAGUCUCGUUUUGUUAUCUUUGUCACAUAAUCAUAUCAAUGGUGAUUUCCCUUCCUUCUUUUGUAAUAUGAAUUUCCUUGAAGUUCUCGACCUAUCUAACAAUCACUUAAUUGGAAAAAUCCCGAAUUGUCAUAACUCAUUUCCAACCUUUCUACAAUCUUUGCAUUUAAAUAAUAACAACCUAUCCGGAACGAUUCCUUCAUUUUUGAAAUACUGUAACAAUUUAAUUACCGUUGAUUUAGGUGAAAAUAAAUUAUUUAGUAAAAUUCCC